rnacentral:rRNA from 1 species
GAUAUUGCUCAAUGGGGGGAACUCUGACGCAGCAACGCCGUGUGAGUGACGAAGGUUUUCGGACCGUAAAGCUCUGUCACCGGGGACGAAGUAGUGACGGUACCCGAGCAGGAUGACCCGGCUAACUACGUUCCAGCAGCCGCGGUAAUACGGAGGGGGCGAGCGUUGUCCGGAAUUACUGGGCGUAAAGGGUGCGUAGGCGGCCAAUUAAGUCAGAUGUGAAAUACCACGGCUUAACCGUGGGGGUGCGUUUGAAACUGUUUGGCUUGAGUGCGGGAGAGGAAAGCGGAAUUCCUAGUGUGGCGGUGAAAAGCGUAGAGAUUAGGAGGAACACCAGUGGCGAAGGCGGCUUUCGGACUGUCACUGACGCUGAGGCACGAAAGCGUGGGUAGCGAACA